GAUGAACGCUGGCGGCGUGCCUAAUACAUGCAAGUCGAGCGAACGGACGAGAAGCUUGCUUCUCUGAUGUUAGUGGCGGACGGGUGUGUAACACGUGGAUAACCUACCUAUAAGACUGGGAUAACUUCGGGAAACCGUAGCUAAUACCGGAUAAUAUUUUGAACCGCAUGGUUCAAAAGUGAAAGACGGUCUUGCUGUCACUUAUAGAUGGAUCCGCGCUGCAUUAGCUAGUUGGUAAGGUAACGGCUUACCAAGGCAACGAUGCAUAGCCGACCUGAGAGGGUGAUCGGCCACACUGGAACUGAGACACGGUCCAGACUCCUACGGGAGGCAGCAGUAGGGAAUCUUCCGCAAUGGGCGAAAGCCUGACGGAGCAACGACGCGUGAGUGAUGAAGGUCUUCGGAUCGUAAAACUCUGUUAUUAGGGAAGAACAUAUGUGUAAGUAACUGUGCACAUCUUGACGGUACCUAAUCAGAAAGCCACGGCUAACUACGUG
rnacentral:rRNA from 1 species